UCCUUUGGUCUUUUUUUGUGAUAAUUUUUCGUAUCAUGCUACUUUCUUGAGAUGGGAAUACUAUCGCUAGAAACUCAGGAGGCACUUAGCGUUGCUAAUGAAAUUGACAACGUCGUCAUAGCUAUAUCAGACAACCAUCUGCCUAGAUCUUUAAUGAAGUGUGCAAAUUUUGAGAGUAUGAGAGUAGAAUGUGAUUCAUGUAUACGACUUGUCGUGUUAAUAUAUACUAUAAUGUGUGUUUAUCAAAUUUGCAGCUUUUUCUUUUCACAAAAGAUCUUAUUUUUGUUAAAUUCCUUUUUACCCAACUAUGCCGCAUAAAGGGAGAUAAAAUUAUUUUCACUAAAGAAAGUGUUGUGAAUUUACCUUGUUUAAUAUGUAGCAAGAGAAGUCCGAUGACAAUUUGUUUCCUUUUCUUUUUUAAAAGCAUAUCAAAAG
rnacentral:lncRNA from 1 species